rnacentral:rRNA from 1 species
AACGAACGCUGGCGGCAUGCCUAACACAUGCAAGUCGAACGAGACCUUCGGGUCUAGUGGCGCACGGGUGCGUAACGCGUGGGGAUCUGCCCUUUGCUUCGGAAUAACAGUUAGAAAUGACUGCUAAUACCGGAUGAUGUCGUAAGACCAAAGAUUUAUCGGCAAAGGAUGAACCCGCGUAGGAUUAGCUAGUUGGUGGGUAAAGGCCUACCAAGGCGACGAUCCUUAGCUGGUCUGAGAGGAUGAUCAGCCACACUGGGACUGAGACACGGCCCAGACUCCUACGGGAGGCAGCAGUGGGGAAUAUUGGACAAUGGGCGAAAGCCUGAUCCAGCAAUGCCGCGUGAGUGAUGAAGGCCUUCGGGUGUAAAGCUCUUUUACCAGGGAUGAUAAUGACAGUACCUGGAGAAUAAGCUCCGGCUAACUACCGUGCCAGCAGCCGCGGU